rnacentral:rRNA from 1 species
UACGGGGGGGGCAAGCGUUGUUCGGAAUUACUGGGCGUAAAGGGCUCGUAGGCGGCCAACUAAGUCAGACGUGAAAUCCCUCGGCUUAACCGGGGAACUGCGUCUGAUACUGGAUGGCUUGAGUUUGGGAGAGGGAUGCGGAAUUCCAGGUGUAGCGGUGAAAUGCGUAGAUAUCUGGAGGAACACCGGUGGCGAAGGCAGCUCGCUGGGACGGUACUGACGCUGAGGCGCGAAAGCGUGGGGAGCAAACAGG